rnacentral:rRNA from 1 species
CAGCGCCACGAGUGGGAACCAUUUUUAUUGGGUCUAAAGCGUCCGUAGCCGGUUUAAUUAGUCUCUUGUGAAAUCAUUGAGCUAAACUCAAUGGCGUGCUUGAGAUACUGUUGAACUAGGAACUUGGAGGAGUCAGAAGAAUUUCUGGGGGAGCGGUAAAAUGCUAUAAUCCCAGAAGGACUACCUGUGGCGAAAGCGUCUGACUAGAAUAGAUUCGACGGUGAGGGACGAAAGCUAAGGGAGCAAGCCGGAUUAGAUACCCGAGUAGUCC